rnacentral:rRNA from 1 species
UGGGGAAUAUUGCACAAUGGAGGGAACUCUGAUGCAGCGACGCCGCGUGAGUGAUGAAGGAAUUCGUUUCGUAAAACUCUGUUCUAUGGGAAGAAAAGGACUGUACCAUAGGAGAAAGCUCCGGCUAAAUACGUGCCAGCAGCCGCGGUAAUACGUAUGGAGCGAGCGUUGUCCGGAAUUAUUGGGCGUAAAGAGCUCGUAGGUGGUUCGUCGCAUCUGUCGUGAAAGCCAGCAGCUUAACUGUUGGUCUGCGGUGGGUACGGGCGGGCUUGAGUGCGGUAGGGGUGACUGGAAUUCCUGGUGUAGCGGUGGAAUGCGCAGAUAUCAGGAGGAACACCGAUGGCGAAGGCAGGUCACUGGGCCGUUACUGACACUGAGGAGCGAAAGCGUGGGGAGCGAACAGG